AUUGAACGCUGGCGGCAGGCUUAACACAUGCAAGUCGAGCGGAGAGAGGUAGCUUGCUACUGAUCUUAGCGGCGGACGGGUGAGUAAUGCUUAGGAAUCUGCCUAUUAGUGGGGGACAACAUUUCGAAAGGAAUGCUAAUACCGCAUACGUCCUACGGGAGAAAGCAGGGGAUCUUCGGACCUUGCGCUAAUAGAUGAGCCUAAGUCGGAUUAGCUAGUUGGUGGGGUAAAGGCCUACAAAGGCGACGAUCUGUAGCGGGUCUGAGAGGAUGAUCUGCCACACUGGGACUGAGACACGGCCCAGACUCCUACGGGAGGCAGCAGUGGGGAAUAUUGGACAAUGGGCGGAAGCCUGAUCCAGCCAUGCCGCGUGUGUGAAGAAGGCCUUAUGGUUGUAAAGCACUUUAAGCGAGGAGGAGGCUACUUUAGUUAAUACCUAGAGACAGUGGACGUUACUCGCAGAAUAAGCACCGGCUAACUCUGUGCCAGCAGCCGCCGUAA
rnacentral:rRNA from 1 species